GGGCCCGUAGCUCAGCCAGGUAGGGAAAAUACAUCCACCUAGAGCGGCGGGCUCUUAACCCGUUGGUCGGGGGUUCGAAUCCCCCCGGGCCCG
rnacentral:tRNA from 1 species